AGAGAAUCUAUUGUAAAGCUAAGAAAGGGUCAGCGGAAUCAAGGAGGAGACAUGGAAAUAGCAGAAUGUUGCUUAGCUUGCUCAACAUCUCCUGAGAAUCAUCUACUGCUCAAGCCUGCCUCACUCAAGCGUGGCUGAUAAACACUGUUAGCUGGCACUGACCAGUAGGACGAGCGAACAAUGUUCUUGAAAGGCAAAGUCAAAGAAUCGUCCAUUGGUCAAGCUAGUUGUCAGAAGUUCUAGUGGUGAGAGGAGGCUGGUCUGGGUUAGGACCUUGUUUCAGUUCCAAGGAAUCAGCUCCAUGGCAUGGGAACUGAUCAUAGCCAAGAGUCCAUAUCAGAGCAGCUCCUGGAUAGAAAGGAAGACUAAUGGGAGAUCAGAUGAAGAUAGAUCCUGAUAAAGAUUUUGAGAAGUCACCAAGUACAUGCCUAAAGGUCUUUAGGUAAUAGAGUCUGAGAAUGCUGGUAAAGGAGAAACAGCUGUGUACACAGAUUCCAGAAAAAAUGUGGUCCCUUCGAGGCAAAGAUUCUGGGAGUCGACAGAUCCUUCUAUUUAUAGAGGAAAAGAAGUUGAAGUUUUUUCUAGUCUGAUGACAUGGUAUGUG
rnacentral:lncRNA from 1 species